rnacentral:rRNA from 1 species
CCCUAAACGAUGUCUACUAGUUGUCGGGUUUUAAUUAACUUGGUAACGCAGCUAACGCGUGAAGUAGACCGCCUGGGGAGUACGGUCGCAAGAUUAAAACUCAAAGGAAUUGACGGGGACCCGCACAAGCGGUGGAUGAUGUGGAUUAAUUCGAUGCAACGCGAAAAACCUUACCUACCCUUGACAUGUACGGAAGGCCGGAGAGAUUUGGCUGUGCUCGAAAGAGAACCGUAACACAGGUGCUGCAUGGCUGUCGUCAGCUCGUGUCGUGAGAUGUUGGGUUAAGUCCCGCAACGAGCGCAACCCUUGUCAUUAGUUGCUACGAAAGGGCACUCUAAUGAGACUGCCGGUGACAAACCGGAGGAAGGUGGGGAUGACGUCAAGUCCUCAUGGCCCUUAUGGGUAGGGCUUCACACGUCAUACAAUGGUACAUACAGAGCGCCGCCAACCCGCGAGGGGGAGCUAAUCGCAGAAAGUGUAUCGUAGUCCGGAUUGUAGUCUGCAACUCGACUACAUGAAGUUGGAAUCGCUAGUAAUCGCGGAUCAGCAUGUCGCGGUGAAUACGUUCCCGGGUCUUGUACACACCGCCCGUCACACCAUGGGAGCGGGUUUUACCAGAAGUAGGUAGCUUAACCGCAAGGAAGGCGCUUACCACGGUAGGAUUCGUGACUGGGGUGAAGUCGUAACAAGGUAGCCGUAUCGGAAGGUGC